rnacentral:rRNA from 1 species
AGUGAACGCUGGCGGCAGGCCUAAUACAUGCAAGUCGAACGGCAGCACAGCAGAGCUUGCUCUGUGGGUGGCGAGUGGCGGACGGGUGAGGAAUACGUGGGAAUCUGCCCAGUCGUGGGGGAUAACGUAGGGGAACUUACGCUAAUACCGCAUGCGCCCUUCGGGGAAAGCCGGGGACCUUCGGGCCUGGCGCGAUUGGAUGAGCCCACGUCGGAUUAGCUAGUUGGCGGGGUAAAGGCCCACCAAGGCGACGAUCCGUAGCUGGUCUGAGAGGAUGAUCAGCCACACUGGAACUGAGACACGGUCCAGACUCCUACGGGAGGCAGCAGUAGGGAAUAUUGGACAAAUGGGCGCAAGCCUGAUCCAGCCAUGCCGCGUGAGUGAAGAAGGCCCUCGGGUUGUAAAGCUCUUUUGUCCGGAAAGAAAGCGCCGGGUUAAUACCCUGGUGUCCUGACGGUACCGGAAGAAUAAGCACCGGCUAACUUCGUGCCAGCAGCCGCGGUAAU